CCCUCCUCCAUCCUAAUCUGGAGCACAUUGGAUUCUUUUCAAUGUGAAUGUUAAAUCUGUUUUUCUGCGAUGGGGUUUUUGUCUCAGCGUCGAUUAUGCAAUGCCAAAGGUGGCGGCACAAAGGCCUUGUCACAAGUAACCCGAUUAACUGAAGCAUGUGUCAAGGGGGGACAUUUUGAGGUGUGUUAAUUUGCUUUUUGGAGUAAUCUUGUCCCAUUGUAAAACCAAGUCUCCAAGAGCACCUAAAUGCGUUUCUUUCCGGUGUUUUUAAAUGUUUCGGGUAACUGCCAUAAGGCUUCUGGGCCAAAUUGCUCCAAUAAAACUGUUGACGAGAGACAAUGGUUCACUGUUGGGCCGUAAAUAAUUCUAAAUCAGAGUGCACUUUUUUUCCACCAUCCAUCCACUUUGCCCAAUCGGCUGUCUGGUUGGUUGAUGACAAGCCCUUCAGCGACCCCCGGCUCCCCGAUGACCUCCUCCAGGGUCAAAGGUGAUUGCAGGUAGGAGGUUAACACGGGUAGGGAAUAUUGGAGCUCAGUAGAGGCGACUUAAUGGUCUGUAAUAACCUGAAACCUGAAUCUCCAGGACUCCGUAAGUCAGUCAGUCAACACGGAGCACAGUACAGUAUGUGUUACAGUGUUUUGUUUUUGCAUUAUGGAUGUUUGGUGUCGUGUUAUCUCAUUAUUAAUUUUGUUUUUCUCACUCAGAUGGAACAAUGUGCGCGCGAGCACAUGCACUCACCCCUUCUUUAUCAGCUCUGUGAAUGCGUAACUACUCGACAUAAACGGGUCCUUAUCGGACCAACGGCCCGACCCCAGAGCGUUCUUUGUAAGAAGGGCUGCUGUUUUUUUCCGUACAGGGGUGGAGGGGAAUGAAGUCAACCUUCCGUCCUCAUUAACGUCUACUCCCAAUGGCCUGUAACAUCACUCCCCGCGAUAGCAGCUUCGAUUGUUCCCUUUUCGCGGGAAAAACAGAACAAAACCCUCCCGCACAGUUCAAAUGUUGGCAGUUGGGAGGGGAGGAGGGUGGGGGUAGACGCGAUGGCAGAAAAGUCCAAACAGCGCGUGGCGGGGCAUCGCAUGGCGGGGUACGGCACAAAUCUUGCUUAACUGGUGUGUUGGGAAGACUUUUUUUUAAAUGGACGGGCCGCCGGCGACAAAUAUGAGAAGAUGUUUACCGCGGUGUAACUGAAAGACGCGGACGCCAUCACUAAUGUAUGAGGGCUUUGUAAUGCACCUGCUGGUCCCCGGCCAGGCGAGUGGAUCGCCUUUCAUAGGACAGGACGGAGGGUUGCUCGUGUGCCACGGACGGCGAGGCCAGGUGUGCGAGGGACAGGAGGCCUCCGCGUGUGUGCUUUUGUGUGCGUGAGGUUAGCCUGAGGGACCACUUUGCGAAUGCGUCCACAUAAUCUGCACUGCUGGUAAGCAGAACAAGGGUAAACCUGUUCAUGUGCACACAUUCAUUUUUUUUAUGACCUAAGGGCCGCAUGUGACCAGCGUCAGAGAGGAAUUCACGAUUAUCGCCUCCCGGCGUGCACCGGCCAAAGGUCUGCGGUAAAGUUGACGGCCUGGUGCAAACACUCCUAGUGCCGUCGAAAAAGCCCCCCCCCCCCCCCCCUGAGCCAAGCCCAUCCUGGCCUACCUGUGACUGAGAGAACGACAUGUUUUGCCAAAAUUACAUCGUGAGGCAGAAAUGAUUAAU
ensembl:lncRNA